UCUCCGUUGGUGAACCAGCGGAGGGAUCAUUACCGAGUUUACAACUCCCAAACCCCUGUGAACAUACCAUUUGUUGCCUCGGCGGUGCCUGCUUCGGCAGCCCGCCAGAGGACCCAAGCCCUUGAUUUUAUACAGUAUCUUCUGAGUAAAUGAUUAAAUAAAUCAAAACUUUCAACAACGGAUCUCUUGGUUCUG
rnacentral:misc_RNA from 1 species